AUUUAAAAUAAUUUUAAAAUUUUAAGAAAAAUUUUAAAUUUAAAUAAAGUUAUAGAAAGUUUUAGGUUUUAGUAUUAAUAAGAAUAAAAUUUUAAUAAAUUUAUAAUUGUAAAAGAAUAAUUUAAAUAUAUUAAAGAAAAUUUAAUUUAUUGUACCUUUUGUAUCAGGGUUAUUAUAAAUAUAAGGUUAAAUUAAUUAAUCUCGAAUUAAAAGGAGUUAAUUUAAAAUUAUAGUUAAUGUGGAAAAAUUAUUAUAAAUUUUAAAUUAGAAAUGAAAUGUUAAUCGAUUUUUAAGAUAUCUAGUUUUUUAAUAUAAAAAUUUAAUUUUUUUAUAAAUUUAAUUAUUGAUAUGUUUAUUAAUUAAUAAUUAUUUUAUAAUAAAGAAUUUAUGGGAUUAUCUAUAGAUUUAGAUUAAAUAAAAAUUUAAUAAUUAAAAGUUUAGAAAUUAAAAUUUUUAAAAUUUAUAAGUUUAUAAUAAUUUAUUAGUUUAGAUGUUAUAAUUUUAAAAUUUAUUAAUUUAAUAUUAAAAUAAAUUUUAAAAUUUUUAAAAAUUAAUAAUAAUGAUAAUAUUAGUAUAAUAAAAUGUUAAAUAAAUUAGAUUAAUAAAUUAAUUUAAGGAAUUAAGCAAAUUUUAAAGUUCACUUGUUUAUCAAAAACAUGUUUUUUUGAAAUUAAUAAAAAAUUUUCUCUGCCCAAUGAAUAAUUGAAUGGCCGCAGUAUUUUGACUGUGCAAAGGUAGCAUAAUAAAUAGUUUUUUAAUUGAAGACUGGAAUGAAUGAGAGGAUGAAAUUUUAACUGUCUCAAUUUAAUUAUAAAAUUUUAUUUUAAGUUAAAAUUCUUAAAUGGAUUUAAGGGACGAGAAGACCCUAUAGAAUUUAAAAAUUUUAAUUAAUUAUAAAAAAUAAAAUUAUUAUUUUUGUUAAUUUAAAAUUUUUUUAUUGGGAUGAUAUUAAAAUUUAAAAAACUUUUAAUUUAAAAAUUCAAUGAUUAGUGAAUUAAUUAAAUAUUUUUAUAAAAAAGAAAAAAUUACCUUAGGGAUAACAGCGUAAUAAAUUUUUAAAGUUCAUAUUAAAAAAUUUGAUUGCGACCUCGAUGUUGAAUUAAAAUAAAAUUUAAGUGAAGAAGCUUAAAAUUUAAGUCUGUUCGACUUUUAAAAUUUUACAUGAUUUG
rnacentral:rRNA from 1 species